rnacentral:rRNA from 1 species
UGGGGAAUUUUGGACAAUGGGGGCAACCCUGAUCCAGCAAUGCCGCGUGUGUGAAGAAGGCCUUCGGGUUGUAAAGCACUUUUAUCCGGAAAGAAAACUUCUACCCUAAUACGGCGGGAGGAUGACGGUACCGGAAGAAUAAGCACCGGCUAACUACGUGCCAGCAGCCGCGGUAAUACGUAGGGUGCAAGCGUUAAUCGGAAUUACUGGGCGUAAAGCGUGCGCAGGCGGUUCGCUAAGACAGAUGUGAAAUCCCCGGGCUUAACCUGGGAACUGCAUUUGUGACUGGCGGGCUAGAGUAUGGCAGAGGGGGGUAGAAUUCCACGUGUAGCAGUGAAAUGCGUAGAGAUGUGGAGGAAUACCGAUGGCGAAGGCAGCCCCCUGGGCCAAUACUGACGCUCAUGCACGAAAGCGUGGGGAGCAAACAGGAUUAGAUACCCUGGUAGUCCACGCCCUAAACGAUGUCAACUAGUUGUCGGGUCUUCAUUGACUUGGUAACGUAGCUAACGCGUGAAGUUGACCGCCUGGGGAGUACGGUCGCAAGA